UUUAGGCCUCUUUAAAAUUUCCUUUCCAAAAUUAUCAAGUUAAUUGUAUUAAAAUAUAAUUUACAUUCGUUGGAAAAUAUUUAAAAAUGUGCAGUCCUGUACUUCAUUUGCCGAGUUACAAAGAACCUCCAGAAUAUAUUCCAUGCUACCCUGUACAGGGACCUCCGUGUCUCCCUUGUGGAAUGGACUCUGUGACUCUGAGGAGGCCGUUGAUAGUUGGUGACAGCACUUUCGACUAUCGACCUACAAGUUGGCCCGGGAUGGUCCUCAACAAUCAAGAUAAAAAAGUCAGAUACCAAGUAAUUAAUUACGAGCGUCCGGUUCGACCUCACUAUCCAUCAUGUGCGCCGUCUGCUAACUAAAUGAAUAUACAUUAUCUAAACGAAACAUUAUAUAUAUAUUUUUUUAUAUUGUCGUCUGUAAAUGUAAAUGUACAAAAGUUAAUAAAUCGACCU